rnacentral:rRNA from 1 species
GAUGAACGCUGGCGGCGUGCCUAAUACAUGCAAGUCGAGCGAACGGACGAGAAGCUUGCUUCUCUGAUGUUAGCGGCGGACGGGUGAGUAACACGUGGAUAACCUACCUAUAAGACUGGGAUAACUUCGGGAAACCGGAGCUAAUACCGGAUGAUAUUUUGAACCGCAUGGUUCAAAAGUGAAAGACGGUCUUGCUGUCACUUAUAGAUGGAUCCGCGCUGCAUUAGCUAGUUGGUAAGGUAACGGCUUACCAAGGCAACGAUGCAUAGCCGACCUGAGAGGGUGAUCGGCCACACGGGAACUGAGACACGGUCCAGACUCCUACGGGAGGCAGCAGUAGGGAAUCUUCCGCAAUGGGCGAAAGCCUGACGGAGCAACGCCGCGUGAGUGAUGAAGGUCUUCGGAUCGUAAAACUCUGUUAUUAGGGAAGAACAUAUGUGUAGGUAACUGUGCACAUCUUGACGGUACCUAAUCAGAAAGCCACGGCUAACUACGUG